AAAACAUUAUGGUCUUCAGUAUCUACACUUGCUAUUGUGGAAUUUUUAUAUGUUUGUGUGUAUGAAAUGUAUGUCUUGCUUUAAGAAUUUGUGCCAUUUCUUGUUAUAUAUAUAUAUAGAAAAACAGAUUUCUAAAACAUCAAAGUGACCCAUGUUUUUGAUAUGCUGGAAUCACUGGAGUUUAUGUGGUACAGAAAGGAUGUUUUGACAUUUCAACACUGCAGUGAAACACAGCAUUAUUCUGCAUCAAUUUGUAGGUCAGCAUUAUCGAAAUUACUAGGAAA
rnacentral:lncRNA from 1 species